rnacentral:rRNA from 1 species
AGCAGCCGCGGUAAUUCCAGCUCCAAUAGCGUAUAUUAAAGUUGUUGCAGUUAAAAAGCUCGUAGUUGAAUUUCGAGACCGGCUUACUGGUCGUGCUAUUGUACGUACUGGUAUAAUCGGUUUCUCCUUUCUGACGAACUUUAAUGCCAUUAAUUUGGUGUUUUAGGGAAUCAGGACUGUUACUUUGAAAAAAUUAGAGUGUUUAAAGCAGGCUCACGCUUGAAUACAUUAGCAUGGAAUAACGGAAUAGGACGUUUGAUUCUAUUUUGUUGGUUUCUAGGAUCGACGUAAUGAUUAAUAGGGAUAGUUGGGGGCAUUAGUAUUCAAUUGUCAGAGGUGAAAUUCUUGGAUUUAUUGAAGACUAACUACUGCGAAAGCAUUUGCCAAGGAUGUUUUCAUUAAUCAAGAACGAAAGUUAGGGAUCGAAGACGAUCAGAUACCGUCGUAGUCUUAACCAUAAACUAUGCCGACUAGGGAUCGGAUGAUGUUAAUUUUUAAUGUACUCAUUCGGCGUCCUUAC